UACGUAGGGUGCGGGCGUUGUCCGGAAUUACUGGGCGUAAAGAGCUCGUAGGUGGUUUGUCACGUCGUCUGUGAAAUUCCGGGGCUUAACCUCGGGCGUGCAGGCGAUACGGGCAAUACUUGAGUGCUGUAGGGGAGACUGGAAUUCCUGGUGUAGCGGUGAAAUGCGCAGAUAUCAGGAGGAACACCAAUGGCGAAGGCAGGUCUCUGGGCAGUUACUGACGCUGAGGAGCGAAAGCAUGGGUAGCGAACAGGAUUAGAUACCCU
rnacentral:rRNA from 1 species